GACCCUGUAGCGCAAUGGAAAGCGCGUUGGAUUUCUAGUCCAAAAGUCGUGGGCUCGAAUCCCACCUGAGAUGGCCU